rnacentral:rRNA from 1 species
UCAAGUUAAUAAGGGCACAUGGUGGAUGCCUUUGUGCCGAGAGGCGAUGAAGGACGUGGAAAGCUGCGAUAAGCUCCGAGUAGCCGCUAACAGGCCGUGAUCCGGAGAUUUCCGAAUGGGGAAACCCGGCGGGGAUAAUACCCCGUCAUCCCGAAAGGGAGGCUAACGAGGGGAACUGAAACAUCUAAGUACCCUCAGGAAUAGAAAGCAACCGCGAUUCCCUAAGUAGCGGCGAGCGAACGGGGAACAGCCCAAACCGGCCGCUGUGUAAGCGUAGGGGCGUUGCACGGCCGGUGUUGUGGGACUCUUCUUCUGGGCCACCCUGCUGGCCUGGCGGAGUUACAAAACCGACUCAUAGCGGAAACGUUCUGGAAUGGCGUACCAUAGGGGGUGACAGUCCCGUAUGCGAAAUGAGGUGGACGGGUGGUACCGUCCUUUGCGGACUUCGUGAAGAGCACCCGAGUACCGUGGGGCACGUGGAACCCCGCGGGAAUCUGGGAGGACCAUCUCCCAAGGCUAAAUACUACUCGGCAACCGAUAGUGCACCAGUACCGUGAGGGAAAGGUGAAAAGUACCCCUGCUAGGGGAGUGAAAUAGUACCUGAAACCAUGUGCCUACAAGCAGUGGGAGCCCUACGGGCGUUCGCGUCCAGGGUGACUGCGUGCCUUUUGCAUAAUGAGGCAGCGACUUACUUUACGUGGCAAGGUUAAGCCGUUAGGUGGAGCCGUAGUGAAAGCGAGCCUGAAUAGGGCGUAUUAGUCGCGUGGAGUAGACCCGAAACCGGGUGAUCUAUCCAUGGCCAGGAUGAAGCGCGGGUAAAACCGCGUGGAGGUCCGAACCCACCGAGGUUGAAAACUCGGGGGAUGAGCUGUGGAUAGGGGUGAAAGGCUAAUCAAACUCGGAAAUAGCUGGUUCUCCCCGAAACAUAUUUAGGUAUGGCCUCGUAUACUCAGCAUCGGAGGUAGAGCACUGAAUGGGCUAGGGGUCCCACCAGAUUACCAAACCCAAUCAAACUCCGAAUGCCGAUGACUGGAAUACGGGAGUCAGGCUACGUGAGAUAAGUUUCGUAGCCGAGAGGGAAACAGCCCAGACCGCCAGCUAAGGCCCCCAAGCGCAUACUAAGUGGGAAACGUUGUGGGAUUGCAGAGACAACCAGGAGGUUGGCUUAGAAGCAGCCAUCCUUUAAAGAAAGCGUAAUAGCUCACUGGUCAAGCGAUCCUGCGCGGAAAAUGUAACGGGGCUCAAGUAUGCCGCCGAAGCUGCGGAGCCGCUUUUUUUCUUCGGAGAAAAAGCCGUUGGUAGGGGAGCGUCCCAGUCGUCGCUGAAGGUAGACCGUAAGGGCUGCUGGAGACCCUGGGAGUGAUUAUGCUGCCAUGAGUAACGAUAAAGCCGGUGAGAAACCGGCUCGCCGUAAACCUAAGGUUUCCUGGGCAAGGCUAAUCCGCCCAGGGUUAGUCGGAUCCUAAGCCGAGGCCGAAAGGCGUAGGUGAUGGAAAGCAGGUUAAUAUUCCUGCACCGCCGGUUCCGCUGUGAAGCGGGUGGGGACGGAGAAGGGUAGAUCAGCUCACUGAUGGAUGUGAGUUCAAGCUUGUAGGGGGGCUCCCUAGGACCCGUAAGGGACAAACGGGGAGCCAUUACCCCGAGAGGUGAUGAGGGGCGGACGCUCCGGCAGAUGCCACACUGAUUGAUCCCAUGCUUCCUAGAAAAGCCACACGUGGAGCGGUUCAGGCGACCGUACCGCAAACCGACACAGGUAGGUGGGUAGAGAAUACCAAGGCGCUUGAGAGAACCCUGGUUAAGGAACUCGGCAAAUUGGCACCGUAACUUCGGAAGAAGGUGUGCCACCGAUGGUGACGGACUUCGCGUCCCGAGCUGUCGGGGGUCGCAGUGAAAUGGGGGUAGCGACUGUUUACUAAAAACACAGGUCUCUGCAAAGUCGAAAGACGAAGUAUAGGGACUGACGCCUGCCCGGUGCUGGAAGGUUAAGGGGAGGGGUUAGCCUUCGGGCGAAGCUCUGAACCGAAGCCCCAGUAAACGGCGGCCGUAACUAUAACGGUCCUAAGGUAGCGAAAUUCCUUGUCGGGUAAGUUCCGACCUGCACGAAUGGCGUAACGACUUCCCCGCUGUCUCGACCAGGGACUCAGUGAAAUUGAAUUCUCGGUGAAGAUACCGAGUACCCGCGGCUGGACGGAAAGACCCCGUGGACCUUUACUAUAGCUUGGCAGUGGGAUUCGGGUUAGCUUGUGUAGGAUAGGUGGGAGACAGUGAAGUUGGGACGCCAGUCUCGGCGGAGUCACCCUUGAAAUACCACCCUGGCUAGCCUGGCUCUCUAACUCAGCCCGGUGAAUCCCGUGGCGAGGACACUGUCUGGUGGGUAGUUUGACUGGGGCGGUCGCCUCCUAAAGAGUAACGGAGGCGCGCGAUGGUUCCCUCAGCCUGAUUGGAAACCAGGCGUCGAGUGUAAAGGCAGAAGGGAGCUUGACUGCGAGACUGACAGGUCGAGCAGGUGCGAAAGCAGGCCUUAGUGAUCCGGCGGUUCCGUAUGGAAGGGCCGUCGCUCAACGGACAAAAGGUACCCCGGGGAUAACAGGCUUAUCUCCCCCAAGAGUUCACAUCGACGGGGAGGUUUGGCACCUCGAUGUCGACUCAUCGCAUCCUGGGGCUGAAGCAGGUCCCAAGGGUAUGGCUGUUCGCCAUUUAAAGCGGUACGCGAGUUGGGUUUAGAACGUCGUGAGACAGUUCGGUCCCUAUCCGCCGUGGGCGUAGGAGAUUUGAGGAGGGCUGCCCCUAGUACGAGAGGACCGGGGUGGACGAACCACUGGUGAUCCUGUUGUUUCGCCAGAAGCAUCGCAGGGUAGCUAUGUUCGGAACGGAUAACCGCUGAAAGCAUCUAAGUGGGAAGCCGGCUCCAAGACUAGAUCUCCCGUGAUUUUUAUCACCUAAAGGGCCCUCGAAGACUACGAGAUACAUAGGCUGGGUGUGUACGCGCAGCGAUGCGUUUAGCUAACCAGUACUAAUAGCCCGUGCGACUUGACCAU